AGAGUUUGAUCCUGGCUCAGGAUGAACGCUAGCUACAGGCUUAACACAUGCAAGUCGAGGGGCAUCAGUUUGGUUUGCUUGCAAACCAAAGCUGGCGACCGGCGCACGGGUGAGUAACACGUAUCCAACCUGCCUCAUACUCGGGGAUAGCCUUUCGAAAGAAAGAUUAAUAUCCGAUAGCAUAUAUUUCCCGCAUGGGUUUUAUAUUAAAGAAAUUCGGUAUGAGAUGGGGAUGCGUUCCAUUAGUUUGUUGGGGGGGUAACGGCCCACCAAGACUACGAUGGAUAGGGGUUCUGAGAGGAAGGUCCCCCACAUUGGAACUGAGACACGGUCCAAACUCCUACGGGAGGCAGCAGUGAGGAAUAUUGGUCAAUGGACGCGAGUCUGAACCAGCCAAGUAGCGUGAAGGAUGACUGCCCUAUGGGUUGUAAACUUCUUUUAUAUGGGAAUAAAGUGGUCCACGUGUGGACUUUUGUAUGUACCAUAUGAAUAAGGAUCGGCUAACUCCGUGCCAGCAGCCGCGGUAAUACGGAGGAUCCGAGCGUUAUCCGGAUUUAUUGGGUUUAAAGGGAGCGUAGGCGGAUUGUUAAGUCAGUUGUGAAAGUUUGCGGCUCAACCGUAAAAUUGCAGUUGAUACUGGCAGUCUUGAGUGCAGUAGAGGUGGGCGGAAUUCGUGGUGUAGCGGUGAAAUGCUUAGAUAUCACGAAGAACUCCGAUUGCGAAGGCAGCUCACUGGAGUGUAACUGACGCUGAUGCUCGAAAGUGUGGGUAUCAAACAGGAUUAGAUACCCUGGUAGUCCACACAGUAAACGAUGAAUACUCGCUGUUUGCGAAAUACAGUAAACCGCCAAACGAAAACAUUA
rnacentral:rRNA from 1 species